ACGUAGGUGGCAAGCGUUGUCCGGAUUUAUUGGGUUUAAAGGGUGCGUAGGCGGCUUUUCAAGCGUGCGGUGAAAGCUCGGGGCUUAACUCCGAGUCUGCCGUGCGAACUGGGAGGCUUGAGUCUGGUAGAGGUCGAUGGAAUUCCGGGUGUAGCGGUGGAAUGCGUAGAGAUCCGGAAGAACACCGGUGGCGAAGGCGGUCGACUGGGCCAGUACUGACGCUGAGGCGCGACAGCGUGGGGAGCAAACAGGA
rnacentral:rRNA from 1 species